AUUGAACGCUGGCGGCAGGCCUAACACAUGCAAGUCGAACGAGUGGCGGACGGGUGAGUAAUGUCUGGGAAACUGCCCGAUGGAGGGGGAUAACUACUGGAAACGGUAGCUAAUACCGCAUACCAUCGGAUGUGCCCAGAUGGGAUUAGCUAGUAGGUGGGGUAACGGCUAACCUAGGCGACGAUCCCUAGCUGGUCUGAGAGGAUGACCAGCCACACUGGAACUGGGACACGGUCCAGACUCCUACGGGAGGCAGCAGUAGGGAAUAUUGCACAAUGGGCGCAAGCCUCAUGCAGCCAUGCCGCGUGUAUGAAGAAGGCCUUCGGAUUGUAAAGUACUUUCAACGAGGAGGCGUUACUCGCAGAAGUGACACCGGCUAACUCCGUGCCAGCAGCCGCGGUAAUAC
rnacentral:rRNA from 1 species